GGAAGAAAUCAAAAAAUCUGGUUCUUCUUUUCUUCACCUUUUCUUACACCUUCAACAGCCAUAGACCGUCCCCCUUUAAAAAACCCAGCCAAACGCCAAACACACAGGAAAAAGCUAGGAAAUAUAAAAAGACACAAGAAAAAGAUCUAGCCUAAUACAAGGGUGAACGGGUAGAAACAGAGUGAGAAAUUCCGAUGACAACAGUCAUCCGUUUCAGUUAUCACUGAAAAGUCGGGGUUCGACCGAGGUUCAUCAAUUUCCGGCGAGCUUCGAGGUCGUCGAGUUUCUGUUCUGUUGCGGUCAUUUCCGGUUCGUAUUCUAAGUUGCAAUUUUGAAGUCGAUGAAAUUCCCAAUUUUUAAACUUUAUUUGCUCUGUGAUUUUCAUAUAUGUUUCUCUUAGCUUUGUCCUUCUCGUGAUUGAUUUAUUGUAUUAUGGAUUUGAUGGUUAUGUAUUUAGCAUGUUAUUGGGUUAUAUUCGGAAAGUUGCAGCAGCCUUGUUUUAAUGUUGAUUCCCAUGCUUGGCACUGUGCAGCUUAGAAUUUAGCUAAGUUCUGAAAACUAGUCUCCAAAACUUCAUAUGUUAUACAAUUGUUCUCCAAAGGUUUAAGCUAUUUACUGUCUAGUUUUGCUCUUUUAAGGAUUCCAGAAGAGCUCACUGUUUUAUUUUUUUCAUAAUCUAAUUUUUGGGAAGGGUUUGAUCUAUUACAUUUAAUGUUUUAAUCGGUGAUGAGCUAUUUGAAUUAAUUUCAUCUUAAUUUUCCAUCUUGUGCAUGAUAGAAGAGCAUGACAACUAAUUUGAUGUGAAAGUUAAAAAAUAAGAAACACUAAAAAGAAACCAAAUAUAGUAGUUGCACUGGAUUUGAGCCAUAUGAUCUUGUUGUAUAUUAAAUGAAAAUUUAGGUUUUUUAAUUGAUGUUGUGGGUCGUUGUUUGCUUAUUAGUAGUAAUUAAAAGAAUUUUGACUCAUAGGGUUCUGUUUGGUCAAGAUGAGUGAUUGAGAAAUGGGCUUGAGAAUAAUUUUUCGUCGGAAUGUUCGUCUAAUAAACGGACCAAAUUUCCAAAUCAAAAAAGAAAAAACUUUCUAUAACUAAAGUUGAUCAAGUUUCCAUAAAUAACAAAUAUUCGUAGUUUGCUUUAGGCUCGUUUAAUAUUCCAUCGCGGUUGUGGACACAUUCGCGUAACAUGAUUGCGAUUUCUAAAAAUAAAUCGAGGUAUGCGUUCGCGCAACUUCGGUCAAACUUUUCUUAAUAAAAUAAACAAAGCGUUAUUAAUUGUGGAUACGUUCGCGUGACAUGAUUUUUGACGCGCCAAAGGAAAAGAGUAUACGUACGCGUAACCCAAUUCUUUAAUUACGAAUAAUCAAAUAAUUAAAAGUGUUUAUAAAGUUAAAAUUGAACCAUAUGUUAAAAUAUGUAUUAAAAUCAGACACUAGGCCAAUUAUAAUAGUUGAGCGACCGUGCUAGAACCACAAAACUCGGGAAUGCCUAACAUCUUCUUCCAGGUUACUAGAAUUCCUUACCCGGAUUUCUGUGAUCGCGGACUGUAAUACAGAGUCAAUCCUUUCCUCGAUUCGGGAUUUAAACCAGUGACUUGGGACACCAUAAAUUAUCCCAAGUGGCGACUCUGCUAUUAAAUAAAUAAUCCCGUUUCGAUUAUCACUUAAAUUGGAAAAACUCUCUUCUACCCUUUCGGGGUGUAGGAAAAAGGAGGUGUGACAGCUCUGGCGAGUCUGCUGGGGACUAGAACCCAAAACUUCUGGUUUUUGGCUUUGCGGGGUCUUAGCCAAAUUUUACACUUCUAGCCACCUUUUAGCCAAAUAAGCCAUUUUGCAAAAAUAGCCUCAAUCAUGUCUUUCAUGUGUCCAGUAGGGAGUGUUAUUGUCUCACAUAGUGUUGGUUUAAAGUUUUCUCAUACAGGUGUGGAUUUAUUUACCGGAGUUUGAGCAUGACAGACACCCCGUGACCAUCUAGUCAAGAUCGCUUAGUCAGGAGUUGCUUAAGGAGAUUUGUUUUAUUUUUAUGUUUUGAGUCUGUUCUUCAUUUUACGUCGUCUUUUACUUUCUAGUUUUUGUACAAUAAUGUCAAGCCUUUUGUUAUUGUAUUUUCUUCUUUAUAUUUGAAAAAUGUGUUGUAACUCAAAAAUCCAAAAAAAAAAGAUGUUGCAUUUUAUAUUUUCCGUUACAAGUUUUCUUUAGGUUACUAAUUCUAGAAAUGAAAAAAAAAGAAUUUUAUUUUGAGGUUGUUC
rnacentral:lncRNA from 1 species